CGGCCACCGUUUGGACCGGGUCUUGUGUCCAAAAUCAUCUACUCGGCGAGAGCUUUCCAUAGACACCAAGAACGCCGAAAUCCAUCGAGCGGAUUGUCCGAUUUUAGCUCGGGAAGAUUUUAGCCCAUUUCGACUUUUGGGCUAGAUUUCUCGAAAACCGUGAAUCCCACGAGAAAACCGAGGCCACCAGCACGCUCCAUUCGUCGAGAGCUUCGCAACGACAUAAAUUUCGAAUUUUUCCGACACCGUUUUUCGGUAUCCUCGAUUCGCGGAAAUUCGACAGUUGACCGGGUCUGCAAAUUUCGGGCCAGACAGACCCGUUACCGGAAAAGUCUCCGAAUUGGACCGAGGUUUUGGCUAGCCCCCCAUUGUCAGACGUCCCGAGCGCGUUCCCGAAGUCGGAAUCGGCAAAGGUGAGCCGGGACAGCCUUCUUCCUCCGCCCAGCCGCCACAGUGAUUGUCGUCAAGUCUGUGAGUAAAAUAUUAAUUUUAAUUGUAAUUUCGAUAUUAUUAUAUGUUCAGCAUGCCCAUGCAUCACUUAUAUGC